CACCUGCCUAGGAUGCAUAAGACACUGGUUCAGUACCCCCACUGCCAAAAAUAAUAACAAAAUGUCACAAGAUAACUGCCCCCAAAAAACAAAAGUGAUGGGUAUAGAGAAAAGAGAAUCCUUGUAAGCUCUUGGUGGCAAUGAACAUUGUUACAGCCACCAUAGAGAACAGCCAGGAGUUUUCUGAGGAAAUUAAAAAUGUAACUGCCAUAUGAGGUAUAUUAGGUGUAUACACAAAGGAGAUACAAUCCCCAUGUGGUUGGGAUAAUCACAGACCCACACUCACUGCAGCAUCAUGCACGAUAUCCAAGAUACGGAAAGAAUCUUACAUAUCCACCUAUGAGUGAAUGGGUAGAGAAGCUGGUCACGAUAUACAAAGGAAUAUUAUUUGGGCUUUAAAAAGGAGACCCUGCCAUUUCCCACAACAAGGAUGCAUCUGGAAGACAUUCUGCUAAGUGAAAUGAACCAGACAUGGAAAGGAAAAUAUUGCGUGAUCUCAAUUAUAUGUGGAGCCUUAAAAAGUCAACUAUGCAGACAGAAUAAAACAAUGUUUCCACAUACACAUUUAUUGAUUUUCAACAAAAGUGCUGAUGUAAUCCAAUGGCUAGUGCAUCGGCUUUUCAGCAGAAUGUGCCAGGGCAACUGGCUAAGGAAAUAACCCAUCGCCUCUGCUGCACUAUAGAAACAUUCAUUGGAAACGUUUUGUGAAGAAGUGUAAGGACUAAAUGGAUGAAAAUCGUAGAAGAAAACAUAAGAGAAAACUGUCUUUAAGCUUGAGAUUUGUUAUCUUUGAUACAGAACGCACAGACUGUAACAAGGAAAAGAAAGACGAAUUGGAUUUAAUCAAAAUUUAAAACAUCUGUACAGUAAGUUAAGCAACUCAAUUUUUAAAGUUGGUAAAAUUCGAAUAGAUUUUUUUUUUUUGCCAAGGAGAAGAUGUAGAUGGCAAACAAACCAGUGAGUAGAAACUAAAUGUAACUGUCAUUAGAAAAAUGAAAUUAAAACCCCCAGAGAAUACCACCACUGGCUCCAUAGAAAGGCUACGAUGAGAAGUGGCUUGUUGAGGACACAGAGUGACUGGAAGCUGGUGUAAAUCCCAGGGGAAGCAGGAUUGGACCUGCAGCGGGUCCUCAUAAAGCCGUGUUCUAUGGCCGACAAACCCCAGGUCUAGGAUUUUAACCAAGCAGAGGGAAAACACAGUUGUAUAGUGUUUGGAAAGUUUUAUUUAUGGUAAGUGGAUGGUAGAAAUAAUUCCGAUGUUUACAUUGGAAAAUGGACAGCUGAUUUAAUAGGAAACACAACUGAAAAAUCACAUCAAAGCAUCCACAUGGGCCAUAAAAUCGAUGGAUCUCAGAAGCACUGGUGAAUCAAAAACACAGGACUAGAUUAGAUUAGAAAAGGUAACACCAGAUUGCAGAAAGAUAAGGACUGGGCAUGAGAGCACCGAACUGGCCUAGAAAACCCUCAGGGGAACUUUCUUCGGUAUCAAAAGCCUUCUAUAUCUCAAUUAUGAUUUCAGUUGUACAACUGCGAACAUUUGUCAAAACUCACCACACUGCAGUCCUUUAAAAGGUAAACUCCCUACCUAAAAAUAUUUAGAAAUACUUAGACCAAGCAAAACAAAAGAAGAAACCACCCUCCUUAAAACAAGACAAAAACACCUUACCUAAGCCCAGUUACCUCGUUUGUAAAAUCAUAUCUACUGUGAUACACGCUUCCCACGGAAAUGUUAUCCUGGCCUGAGUCCUAAGUCCCUGCUUUGACUUGGAUUUGCCAGUUUGUGUUGUUGAUAAAUAAAGAUACAGGACAUUUAUGACAAGCAUCUAUUAUUAUGCUCCAUACAUCUGAGACGUUGCACAGCUCCGAAAUGAGUAUGACAUUCAAUAGAAGAAGCCAUAAAGAGUCAAUAAUCUUUUCAGAACCCAACCAGAUGCCAGACUCCAGACCAUAGUGAGAACAAUUUGCUUUUGAAUUCAGCCCUGCCUUCUUUUAUUCAUUUGCAACAGAAUGUUUGUUGAUUGGGGUUGAAAGAAGAAUUUUCAGAAAUGAUCCUGUUUAUUUCUCAUGGCCUAGGCGGCGUCAAUGUUCUGACACCCUCACUGUGAAUUGUAGACGUGUGUUCAUAGUUGACACAAUUACACUCCAAGUCCUUGUAGUUAUUUCUUCCAUUCCCUUGCCUUUGGAAGGGAGCUCACUCCCUCGCCUGUGUUUAGACCCUAUCCCCACUCUAACAGCAAUAAAGUCCCAUAGGCUGACUUUAGUGUGAGGUCUUCCAAGACCCUGGGAAAUAUCAUUGCCCUCAAUGGCCUGGUGCCUCAUCAUUCUCUGCCUGACCUAGUUAGGGUUACUAUUGCUGUGACCAAAAACAACUUGGGGAGGAAAGGGUUUAUCUGGCUGACAUAUCCUGAGUCACAGCACAUGGAAAGGAAGCAAAGGCAGGAACUCAGACUACGUGGGAACCUGGAGGCAGGAGCCCUUGCAGAGGCCACGGAGGAAUGUUGCUUACUGGCUUGCUCCACAUGGCUUGCUCAGCCUGCUUUCUUAUAGAACUCAGGACCACCAGCCCAGGGCUGGCCCCACCCACAAUAGUCUGGGCCUUCCCAUACCAAUCACUAAUUAAGAAAACACCCUGCAGGCUUGCCUCCAGCCCCAUCUUUUUGUUUGUUUGUUUUGUUGUUGUUGUUGUUUUGGAGACAGGACACCAUGAUGGCCUUGAACUCACAGAGAUCUGCCUGCCUCUGCCUCCCUAGUGCUGGGAUUACAGGCGUGCAGCACCAUUGUCCGGCUACUAUAGCCCCGUCUUAUGGAGGGGUUUUCUCAGCUGAGGUUCCCUCCUCUCUGAUGGCUUUAGCUUGUGUCAAGUUGACAGAGAACUAGCCAGCACACUGCCCAAAUCACUGCUUAUUUCAGCUCGAGAUAAAUUUUCUAAAUCUACUCCUAUCGGGAUUGUCUCAAUCAUAUCUAAUGCAGAUUGAACCACAAUGAUUAUUACUUCACUUUUUAAUAGUGAUAAUGGUAACGUAGCAACAACCAUCACCCUGCAUUGGUAGCUGGGGUUAGGACAACGCUACAUGUUAACAACUGCUCCUUAUAGGGGCACGAGGCACAGAUACCUGUUUUUACCAUGAGGGAUCCAGGCUCACAAGGUCUCAGAGGCUUUGCUCACACCAUGAAUCCAGGGAAAUCCAGGUCUCACAUCUGCAAAGUUUUUGAAAGAGAUGACAGUUUUCUUUUACUUGAGCUGUUUGGUUACACCAAGUCAAGUCCCCAGACAAGUGUUCUUCCCUGCUGACUGGUGGCAGGCAGACUUAGGUGGCACCUCAGUGAUUUACAGCUAUGAGAUCCUUCCCAUUUUCUAAACUGUACUAGACAUCACUAGUCAAUCAUCAUCUCAGCCACCAAGCUCCUAGAUGACUUGUGAAUCAUUUCUUUGUUCUCCUGAGGCACCCUCAGCAACUGAUCACCAUCAAUGGCCGAAUCACGGGGGUGGGGGCAUUUCUAACUUUGCUGAGCUUUGUCUAAUGCUUUGAUUCUUCCCAUCUGCAGGUGGGAUUAAAGAUAAAGACGACAGGAACAUGCUGGGGAGUGUCAUCCAGUGACUGGUCCACAGUGGGAUCUCACCCAAGUGCCCACUCUACAGCUGUUGUCAUGCCAACCCUAGAGCAUCAAGCCCAACCAUUGCAGGUGGUCAACUGAGCAAGCCAAGAGAUGCAAGCCAGUAAGCAGCAGCCUUCUAUGGCCUCUGCUUUACCUCUUGCCUCCAGGUUCCUGCCUUGAGUUCCUGCCUUGCUUUCCCCUGAUGAUGGACUGUGACCUGUAAGCCAAAUAAAACCUUUCCUCUCCAA